CAGCCGCCACGGGAAUACGGAGGGAGCUAGCGUUAUUCGGAAUUACUGGGCGUAAGGCGCACGUAGGCGGCUUUGUAAGUAAGAGGUGAAAGCCCAGAGCUCAACUCUGGAAUUGCCUUUUAGACUGCAUCGCUUGAAUCAUGGAGAGGUCAGUGGAAUUCCGAGUGUAGAGGUGAAAUUCGUAGAUAUUCGGAAGAACACCAGUGGCGAAGGCGGCUGACUGGACAUGUAUUGACGCUGAGGUGCGAAAGCGUGGGGAGCAAACAGGAUUAGAUACCCCAGUAGUCCCUGUCUCUUAUAU
rnacentral:rRNA from 1 species